AAAUGAUUAAAUCUUUUAUUUGUUUUAGAAUAAAUAAAACCAAUGUAAAUAUUUCAGUUUAUUAUAUACGAUAAAUCAAAAAAAAAACCUGAAGUGUAAGUAUUCUAAACAUUCAUUUAUAAACCACAACAAAACAUUCAUUCAUUGCUAAUAUAUGUUUGUUAAAUCACAUCAACUAAUUCAUUCAUUGCAAAAUCAAAGAAAAAAUUCCUUCUGUACAUUCUCUUGGUUUCAAAAUAAAUGCAUCAAGUAAUGUGUGUUCCAGACUGUAAAACAUAAGUCAUUGUCCAGGCUUUAAAGUUAUUAGCACACAUGUUCCAAAAAAAAAUAAAAAAUGUACACAAUAUAUUUGCCAUAAAAAAUAUUAACACAUUUACAAUGACAAAAGGAGCUAAAUAUGUUAAACAUAAAACAACAGAUGGGGAAAUUCAAUAGAGUGUAUUAUUAUCUAUAAGAAGGAAGGAAAAAAAAACAAAACAACUGAAUUACACAUCAACAGGGAAGCUAUUGAUAAAACACUUUUCUUUGUUCAGGUUUUUUAAAAAUUGACUUUUCUAGAAUGUCUAAUUACCGUGCACAGCAAUUAAAAAUUCAAACCAACUAAAGGAUUUAACUAAGCUGACAAAAUGCUAAGGAAUUGUUUCAUUCCUUUCAGUUCAAACCCAUUGGGAUU